AAUGGCUUCUAUUUCUUCCAACCCCAUAAACUUGUUUCAUCAAAUCAAGAUUUGGGUUCACUUAAAAUCAAUCAAUUAUUAACACUCACUUGAUAAAAUCAUCUCCCCUGUCUGAAAAGAAAAAAAUCUGUUGUUUGUAAACGCAAUUUCUGUGGAACUAUCAACUGAAAUUGGAGAAGAUAUUUCUCAGGUAUAUGUUUCAACACUCUAAUGAUUAAUUCAAGUGAAUAUCAAUCUGGGUUUUGUUUCAGUUUACUGAUUUCGGAGUAAAAUUGGAAUUUUUACUGGUUUUGUGAAUUCCUUCAGUAGAACUUUGUCUCAUAAGUGUAAUUUUUUUUCUCUUCUAUUUCUGUGAUUACUGUACUGAUUUUGAUUUCCAGUUUAAUUGGUAUUUUAAUUGAAGAAGAGGUUGAAUCUAUACUUGAUGUACCAUAUAAACAGUAUUGUAGUUAGUUCUUAUUAGAUCAACUUCAAUAGUUGAAUUGAUUGAGUAAACCUUAAGCUGAGAAUAGUUCUUAUUAACAUACCCUUUCAAUUUUGAGGUUGAAUCCAUUAUUUCACUCCAAUUUAAUUUCUUAUACUAACAACAGUUUGCUAAUUCAAGUUCAGCUGUUAGGCCAAGUUCAUUUAGCUGCUGUAUAAGUGAAUUUAUCUGUCAACUGAAUUAUUGAACCUGAAGUUUGAUCCAGGCCUUUUUGUUUCACCAAUCACCAAGCAUAAAAUGUUCGAGUGAUAUGACAGGAAGAGGUUCACUUUCUAUUUUGAUUUUCUUAUCACUCCUAAUCUCAAGAAAGUUAUUCACAUAUGGUGCGACUUCAACUUCGGUGGGUUAAUUUUUUUGAUUGAAUCUUGUUUACUCUAUGUACAAAUAAAUUCGGUUGAAGGUUUGUUCAACAACUAGGGGCUUUUCUCUUUGAUCUCUGCCUUGUUUUUUUUUUCCCGACUGAUGAUAACCUAAACUUUUUCUUGAUUGUCUACUUCGGAUAAAAGUAGUAGGGUGUCAAAAAAUUUAUAGCUGUGGAUGCUUUCCACCGUUUCAGUUGGCAAAGAACUCUUGGACCGCUUAUGAGUCACUCACAGUACUGCGUUUAUAGCCAUUCUACAACAUUGCUCUACAUCUAUCUGCAACGAUGUAUGCAACAUAUCUGAAUUAAUUGGUGUCUUAUAUCAAAGUCACUCUAUGUCAAGUUGAGAACCUUGAUGUGUGAUUGUAUUGCAUUACCACAUCACUGCAUAUGUUCUUGACUAUUGGCUUCUUUUGUUAGUUACAGACCUUUCAGAGUUCAAUCUCCAUGUUUCACUUCCGAGUAGAAACUUCAUGGGAUCAAGAGCUAGAACUGCGCAUUCGGAUUCAGAAGGUCCACCUUCAAGCUUUUUAGCAUACAGUAACCUUAUACUAAGUAAUACUGUUAGUCUGUGAUGACUGCAAAUAGGUCACAACUGCCCAAUUACCAUCUACUUAUGCAGGUGCAGGUGCAAGUGCAGCUGACUUGUAUGAUCCUGAUCAGCCUCCGAGGAAUAAUACCUGCACUGAAACAUCUAGUAAAAUACACCUCACCCCAGAAUUCUUUACACACUUUCCCCAAAAGAGAACAAGAUAUAACCCCACCCCUUCUUUCGCAUUUUCAGAAAUUUGUAGUAGAUGACAUUUCUACAACUGAUAGAAAAGUAGCCUACAUUCAGUUUUUGAAGAGAGAAGCAGGAGAAACUGCAAUAAGUUCACCUGAUGCUGUGAUGCAGUAUUGGGUAAGCGUUUAAUCUGGUUAUCAUGAGCUACAGAGAUAUAUUUCUCGAACUUGAUGAAAGCAGUUCCUAUACUCCUCGCCCAGACACCUCUAGAUAAUAGGAAAAAAGAUCUCACGUCUGCACUGCAAGAGGUUAAUGACGCUCCUGUCUCUGAUAUUUGUGCUUGCCUCUUCUUCCCAAAAGAAUAUAGAAGGUUCAGAAAUUUUCACUAAGGAGCCUCAACCACAGCAGGAGCUUAUUGACCAAAACCAGAGUGACUUCAAACCUGUAGCAGGAACAAGUUAUAACAAUCAAGACUGAAAGCAACUAAUGAAAAAAAGUUGUUGAGAUACAUGAAGUGGGUUCACAGUAAAACAAGGGACCCCUCCCAUCUUGCAUCUUCACUACCCAUAACAAUACUCUCAUUCAAGUGGGUCUAGUUCCAGAACUGGCUGGAUGGGCGUCAAGGUUCGGAUGCCUAACUGAAGCAUUUACCUUUUCUCCAACCUUGGCAUCCCGCUUGGAGCAAAAGCUGAAUCAAAAUAAUUAUGGAAUCCUGUGAUCGAGAAGUUUAAGCACAGAUAGCCCUCGUGGAAGAAGAGCUUCUUGACAAAGCGUGGGAGUAUAACUUUAGUAAAGCGGUACUCUCCAAUUCGUAACUUACUAUUCUCGGUAUAUAAAGCUCCUAAGUCAGUUAUAGAAUCUCUGGAAAUAUCACAUUUAGGAUGAUGAAAGAAGCUGGUCUUUUCACUUCAAAAGAGUCUUAAAAGAUGUUGAGCUUGAUCAACUAAUGUCCAUGCUUGUUCUCAUUGACCUCUCUCCAACAGUCCAAUCGGACCAGCCUGAUUCCAGGUCAUGGGUCCCCUAUCCUUCAGGUCUAUUCUCUGUCAAAUCCACCUACAAUUCAAUUAUGGUUCCUACUGCAGUUAUCCCUGCACCUUUUAUUGGACUGCAUCCCUAGAAAAAAUUCUCACUCAAGAAAUUCAUGCUUGCUAGCAGAUGUGAUUAAGCAGAACACUUUCCCUUGAAAUGGCAAUUCUCCAGGAAAGUCUGGUUUUUAAUUUUACCCAAUCACAUCCCAUGGAAGCCACCUCAGUCUCCUUCAACUUGCUAUUUUUUGGUCUUGUCAAGGCCCUGAUAUCAAGAUUUAGGAACUGGUUCCUGCAGCAGUCAUUUGGGCUAUCUGGACUGAGUGUAACAGAAAAAUCUUUCAAGAUAAAGCUAUAUCCUAUUUCGAAAUCAAUGUUGAGAUCAAGGAAACCCUUCAGCAAGGAGUUCUGCCUUCAAAACAAGCUUACUGACUGGACUGGUGCAUUUUCUCUUGGCAGCAUUUGCUAGCAAAGCGAUGUCAACUAACACAAGCUGAACGAAAAUAGAGUUACUCGGGUUUUAUUCUUGCUUUUCAACUUUCACUUUAGGAUAAUUAUGAACAGUAAAUUUGUUUGAA